rnacentral:rRNA from 1 species
CCUACGGGUGGCAGCAGUGAGGAAUAUUGGUCAAUGGACGAGAGUCUGAACCAGCCAAGUAGCGUGAAGGAUGACUGCCCUAUGGGUUGUAAACUUCUUUUAUAUGGGAAUAAAAUGUUCCACGUGUGGGAUUUUGUAUGUACCAUAUGAAUAAGGAUCGGCUAACUCCGUGCCAGCAGCCACGGUAAUACGGAGGAUCCGAGCGUUAUCCGGAUUUAGUGGGUUUAAAAGGAGCGAAGGUGGAUUGUUAAGUCAGUUGUGAAAGUUUGCGGCUCAACCGUAAAAUUGCAGUUGAAACUGGCAGUCUUCAGUACAGUAGCGGUGGGCGUAAUGCGUGGUGUAGCGGUGAAAUGCUUAGAUAUAACGAAGAACUCCGAUUGCGAAGGCAGCUCACUGGACUGCAACUGACACUGAGGCUCGAAAGUGUGGGUAUCAAACCGGAUUAGAUACUCCAGUAGUC